GUCUACAGCCAUGCUACCCUGAAUGUGCCUGAUCUUGUCUGAUCUUGGAAGCUAAGAAGGGUCAGGCCUGGUUAGUACUUGGAUGAGAGACCACCUAGGAAUGUCAGGUGCUGUAGGCA
rnacentral:rRNA from 1 species